CACCUCCUGGCAAUGGGCAAAGGGAUGCCUUGUUUGUAGUGUUGUUAUUAUAUCAGUUAGAGGCAGAGCAGAUGACCAUCCUUUGUUCAUCCAAGCUUUAUGCCUGGUUUGGUGGCCAAAGCUGUCUUAUGCCUAGGACGCAUAA